GAUGAACGCUGGCGGCGUGCCUAAUACAUGCAAGUCGAGCGAACGGACGAGAAGCUUGCUUCUCUGAUGUUAGCGGCGGACGGGUGAGUAACACGUGGCUAACCUACCUAUAAGACUGGGAUAACUUCGGGAAACCGGAGCUAAUACCGGAUGAUAUUUUGAACCGCAUGGUUCAAAAGUGAAAGACGGUCUUGCUGUCACUUAUAGAUGGAUCCGCGGUGCAUUAGCUAGUUGGUAAGGUAACGGCUUACCAAGGCGACGAUGCAUAGCUGACCUGAGAGGGUGAUCGGCCACACUGGAACUGAGACACGGUCCAGACUCCUACGGGAGGCAGCAGUAGGGAAUCUUCGGCAAUGGGCGAAAGCCUGACGGAGCAACGCCGCGUGAGUGAUGAAGGUCUUCGGAUCGUAAAACUCUGUUAUUAGGGAAGAACAUAUGUGUAAGUAACUGUGCACAUCUUGACGGUACCUAAUCAGAAAGCCACGGCUAACUACGUG
rnacentral:rRNA from 1 species